rnacentral:rRNA from 1 species
UUGGAGGGCAAGUCUGGUGCCAGCAGCCGCGGUAAUUCCAGCUCCAAUAGCGUAUAUUAAAGUUGUUGCAGUUAAAAAGCUCGUAGUUGAAUUUCGGGGUCAGUAGGUUGGUCGUGCCACCGGUACGUACUGGUCUCACUGAUUCCUCCUUCCUGAUGAGCUGUAAUGCCAUUAAUUUGGUGUUGCAGGGAAUCUGGACUGUUACUUUGAAAAAAUUAGAGUGUUUAAAGCAGGCUAACGCUUGAAUACAUUAGCAUGGAAUAAUGAAAUAGGACGUUCGAUCCUAUUUUGUUGGUUUCUAGGAUUGACGUAAUGAUUAAUAGGGAUAGUUGGGGGCAUUAGUGUUCAAUUGUCAGAGGUGAAAUUCUUGGAUUUAUUGAAGACUAACUACUGCGAAAGCAUUUGCCAAGGAUGUUUUCAUUAAUCAAGAACGAAAGUUAGGGGAUCGAAGACGAUCAGAUACCGUCGUAGUCUUAACCAUAAACUAUGCCGACUAGGGAUCGGAUGAUGUUAAUUUUUUAAUGACUCAUUCGGCGCCUUACGGGAAAC